AGUGAACGCUGGCGGUAGGCCUAACACAUGCAAGUCGAACGGCAGCACAGUAAGAGCUUGCUCUUACGGGUGGCGAGUGGCGGACGGGUGAGGAAUACAUCGGAAUCUACUUUUUCGUGGGGGAUAACGUAGGGAAACUUACGCUAAUACCGCAUACGACCUACGGUCAAAGCAGGGGAUCUUCGGACCUUGCGCGAUUGAAUGAGCCGAUGUCGGAUUAGCUAGUUGGCGGGGUAAAGGCCCACCAAGGCGACGAUCCGUAGCUGGUCUGAGAGGAUGAUCAGCCACACUGGAACUGAGACACGGUCCAGACUCCUACGGGAGGCAGCAGUGGGGAAUAUUGGACAAUGGGCGCAAGCCUGAUCCAGCCAUACCGCGUGGGUGAAGAAGGCCUUCGGGUUGUAAAGCCCUUUUGUUGGGAAAGAAAAGCAGCAGGUUAAUACCCCGCUGUUCUGACGGUACCCAAAGAAUAAGCACCGGCUAACUUCGUG
rnacentral:rRNA from 1 species